ACUACAAGAAUGAAAUAUAAAACUGUUCGUUGAAAACGAACGAUUAUGUAUACCUUUUUUUUUUUUUUUUUUUAUAACCAUAGUAACUGUAUGAACGUAUUUAACACAUUGUCACAUUUUAGUCGAUGCAUCUUCAUUCGCGAUGUCUUCAAUACACGUGUUUCUCACUUCUUUCUACAAACUCAGUCGAUAAGAAAUUAUUAGAAACAGUAUUCAUGACAUUCAGUCGUAGACCGCCAUGGAUAAGGAUGCGUGUAUGUGCGUGUAUCUUCGAACUGUACAUUUUCGCAAAAAAAAAAAAAAGAAAAAAAAAGAAAAAAACACGUAGCUAUUGUACUCAGUCUAUAUGUAUAUGUAUAUGUAUAUGUGCACGUACGCGACGCGUGUCGAACGAAUCUUCGGCGGAACGAGAGGUUACAUGCGAGAUCGACCAAAAAAUUAGGCUAAAAAAAGAAGAAAGAAAUCGUAGAGCGGAGAGUAGAAACAGAGUACAGAGAGAAAAGAUAAUGUUCGGGAUAGUAGUUAGAAAUCCGAGAGAUGUUCUAGGAUGAAUGAGAAUUAUAGUCUUUUGUAAACGAACGAAACACGAGAAAUAUUGUAUAUUUUGAAAAUUGCGUGGGUAGAACACGUUGUCUGAUGAGAACGCGUAGAUAGAGAGGACAAUAUUAUAAUGAUGGUAAUGUCGUACUCUACUAUAACUGAAAGUAACGCGACACACGUGUACACUGUGUAUACAUUUGCGCACACGUGGUCAGGCGUGUGACACAAGUUACACAUACAUAUACACACACCAAUUACACACACACACAAACACUCACAGGACACACGCAAUGUGAAUUAGUGGAUAUUUUUAAUAAAUGGAUAUCACGAAGCAGAGAAUUUUCUGAUUAAUUCGGAUCGAUAUAGAUCGCGAUGCGAGCGCCACUAUUGUAACUUUUUUCUCGUUUCUAUUUUUCCCUUGUCUCUUUGACGAGACACGUCUGUCAUCUUGUGUGCCAGUGAUCACAGUGGAAGACGUUAAUUAACCUUCCUUCCCUCUUAUAACGAUGAUUGUCAAUGGAUUAAGUGAAAAUAAAAUUGGUUUUCCAGUCACAAAACUGUUUUAUCAAGAUUAACACUGUUUCUUAUUUCAGAAUUAAAACGAAGAAAAAUCACUGGAUUUUAAUUUUUGGAUGCAAAUUUAAGCGAGGACCGAAAUAAUAACCAAUAAUGACCAAUGACGUGAUUUCUACAAUUCAUCGAACCUGUUUCUUCGAAAUCUAAUUUCUUCUUUUACGUACAUGGAAGAACUGAGAGAACAAUUGUUAACUAAUCAUCGAGCGUUGUAAUCUAAUCAAAUCGAAUCACGAAGAUGGAGAUCAGUGUUCAAGAAUGGAUAUAUAUACAAGGAGGACAAGGGCGCAAUGCUUCUCACGUUGAAAUUUUUAUUGUAAUAGAUUGUAUUGAAAUCUUUGUCGCACUCUUUUUGAAAACAAAAAGUGUUUACACGCGGCUGCUCGAUUUCUCACGCUUUCUCUCUCUCUCACUCUCUCAUAUUUUUUUUCUCUUCUAUCGCAUUACUAUCUUUCUUUAUUUUUCUCUCUUCACACACAUACACACACACACUCUCUCACUCCUUCCUCCUUUCUACAAACCAACACGCAAAUAGGUUUGGUUCGAAGAGUGACAUAUACCAUGUACAUAUUUUGUUUUUUUCUUUUUUUCUUUUUUGUUUUUCUUCAUAUAUAUACCAGCGACGGCAUAUAACAAAAUUCGACAUAGACUACAACAACAAACAACACUCUUACUAAAACUCACAGGCAUACUUCGCUUUGUUUUUUAUUUCAUUUUCUUUUAUUUUGUUCUCCUCUCGUUUACUCCUCGCGCCGGUUCAUUCACACAAGAAAUAUAAUGUACAGAUACUCUAUUAUCACGAGGGAUGUACAAGACACGCCUAGACACUUCUUUUUGCUUUUCUCUCUCUCUCUCUCUCUCUUUCUCUCAUUUUCCUUUUUAUUCCUACAUGCCUUUGUAUUCCUCUUAUUAUGUAUAUAUAUAUAUUCGAUAUAAUAAUUACAUCUCGUGAUUUCUCUCUCACUCUGUCUCUCACUCUACCUCUGAUUCUUUCUCUCUCGUAUAUAAUUCUCUAUGUACAAUUAGACUCCCCUUGCGGUCUCGUGCUUAUUGUUGUUUUGUUUAGGAUGUUAGUAAAUACUAGUUAGCGUCAUAUUUACGUCUACGAAAUACGUAAACGAUUCAACAGUUUCAUUUUUUUUUUUUUCUUUUUCUUUUUUUCCUUUACUUUUUCACUUCUGCUUAAACGCUAUAGUGCUAAGUAAUUCUUUGUCAAUUACUUAUAUCACAUUGUUCGUGUACACGUAGAUUCCUCGCAUGUUUGUUCUUUACGUUACUUUCUCUCUCUUGAUUUGUUUGUUCCCGAGGGUUCCCGCUGACCGACGAGAUUUCUUUUUCUUUUCUUUGUUAUUUUAACCUCUUUUAAUUAUGUACAAAAAAGGGAUAUUUCUAUUGUUCUUGUUUCUUUUCCUCUUUCUCUAUACACAUAUAUAUCUGUCAAUAUUUUUGUUGGCUUUCUACGUCUGCUGUUCAGAAACAAACGCGAACGCGACUUUGCUUUGAUUUGACUGCUACCAUUAUUCUCUUCUCUGUGUCUUCUUCUCGCCAAAUACAAGAGGAGCGACUUUUAAAUUUUUCUUACAAACGAUUUAAAAUCUUUUGUCAUCUUUCUCUUAUCUAGAUAUACUUGAAAGUUCAAUAUUGAAGUUAUGCAUUUUAAUUAUACAGCAUUACAAUUUUUUCUUCUAAUAAUUCAAAUUCUUUGUUACUGGGAUUUAAAUAUCCUAUUGACUUUUUUUUCUUUUAAUUAUUAAUCAAAAUCUCUCAUAUCCAUAAUUAUAUUUGGAAGUUUAUUUUGUCCAGAUUACACACUUUUUGAGAAUAAUUCAAAGAUCAAUUUUCUUAGUCUUAUUUCUCAAUAGAAAUAACAAACAAAUUACUUGGUUCUUGAUAGAUUGAUUAUUAACUGUUACCUCCAGUCUUUUGUUUUAACUUACUUCAUCCAAGUCACGCAUUUUAAUGAUAAAAUCGUUCUCUCUUUUUGGCUAAAAACAAAAGUUUAUCACUCGUCUUGCAUUCAGCGAACAAAAUCAACAAUUCUUGUCUGCGCUUCCUAUUUUCUUUUUCGUGUUAAGAAUGCCCCCAACGUCUGAUACAAAUAUUUACAUAUCCAUUGCACGGUUCACAGUUGAAUUUUCCAAAGGAGAAUUACAAA